rnacentral:rRNA from 1 species
UACGAAGGGGGCUAGCGUUGCUCGGAAUCACUGGGCGUAAAGGGUGCGUAGGCGGGUCUUUAAGUCAGGGGUGAAAUCCCGGAGCUCAACUCCAGAACUGCCUUUGAUACUGAAGAUCUUGAGGUCGGGAGAGGUGAGUGGAACUGCGAGUGUAGAGGUGAAAUUCGUAGAUAUUCGCAAGAACACCAGUGGCGAAGGCGGCUCACUGGCCCGAUACUGACGCUGAGGCACGAAAGCGUGGGGAGCAAACAGG